rnacentral:tRNA from 2 species
AGGCCGGUAGCUCAACAGGCAGAGCAGCGGACUCCAAAUCCGCAGGUUCCAGGUUCGAGUCCUGGCCGGCCUGCCU